GUAGGGUGCAAGCGUUAAUCGGAAUUACUGGGCGUAAAGCGUGCGCAGGCGGUGAUGUAAGACAGAUGUGAAAUCCCCGGGCUCAACCUGGGACCUGCAUUUGUGACUGCAUCGCUAGAGUACGGUAGAGGGGGAUGGAAUUCCGCGUGUAGCAGUGAAAUGCGUAGAUAUGCGGAGGAACACCGAUGGCGAAGGCAAUCCCCUGGACCUGUACUGACGCUCAUGCACGAAAGCGUGGGGAGCAAAC
rnacentral:rRNA from 1 species